AUUGAACGCUGGCGGCAGGCCUAACACAUGCAAGUCGAGCGGAGCGGCGGACGGACGAGUAAUGCCUAGGAAUCUGCCCGGCAUAGGAGGAUAACGUAAGUACACGGGCGCUAAUACCGCAUCCGAUCAGAUGAGACUAAGGGGGAUUAGCUAGCUGCAGGGGUAAAGGCCUAACAAGGCGAGGAUCCGUACCUGGUCUGAGAGGAUGAUCAGUCACACUGGAACUGAGACACGGUCCAGACUCCUACGGGAGGCAGCAGUGGGGAAUAUUGGACAAUGGGCGAAAGCCUGAUCCAGCCAUGCCGCGUGUGUGAAGAAGGUCUUCGGAUUGUAAAGCACUUUAAGUUGGGAGGCGUUACCAACAGAGUAAGCACCGGCUAACUUCGUGCCAGCAGCCGCGGUAAUAC
rnacentral:rRNA from 1 species